GGACUACCAGGGUUUCUAAUCCUGUUUGCUCCCCACGCUUUCGAGCCUCAGCGUCAGUCAUGGACCAGUAAGUCGCCUUCGCCACUGGUGUUCUUCCGAAUAUCUACGAAUUUCACCUCUACACUCGGAGUUCCACUUACCUCUUCCAUACUCUAGAUCGUCAGUUUUGAAGGCAAUUCCAAGGUUGAGCCCUGGGCUUUCACCCCCAACUUGACGACCCGCCUACGCUCCCUUUACGCCCAGUAAUUCCGAGCAACGCUAGCCCCCUUCGUAUUACCGCGGCUGCUGGCAC
rnacentral:rRNA from 1 species